rnacentral:tRNA from 1 species
CAAAGUAUAGCUUACCCUAAAGCAUCUAGCUUACACCUAGAAGAUAUCACAUAAUCAAUGAUUACUUUGAG